UCUCCGUUGGUGAACCAGCGGAGGGAUCAUUACUGGAAUCGCAAGAUCCCACAACCCCUGUGAACCUACCGAAACGUUGCCUCGGCGGGCGCCCGGCCCCGCGCCGGGCGCUGAGCCCGCCGGCGGCCCCCUACUCUUGUCUCUGCAGCGUGGCAUCUUCGAGUCCCAGAAAACAAGUAAAAACUUUCAACAACGGAUCUCUUGGUUCUG
rnacentral:misc_RNA from 1 species